GUCCAUAGUCCAUACCCACGGGAAAACUGCAUUCGGACGUCUGCGUUCUUCUCUUCUUGCCCCGCUCCCCGCGGUCCACCCCUUUUCCUCCCCACUUCUGUCUCCCCUCCUAGGGUUUUUCCGGCUCCGAGCUCCCACCUCCAGCGAGCGGCAGAGAUUUGCGCCCCAUGGCCGGAGUUCGGUGGCCUCCAGAGGAGUCCGAGCUGCUCCCGCCACGCCAGCUGACAACCGCCGAUUUGAUCUCUGACGACGACCGGUCCGUGGCCGCAGACUCCUGGUCCAUAAAGAGCGAGUACGGGAGCACGGUCGAUGACGAGCAGCGCCACGUCGACGCUGCCGAGGUCCUCGCCGGUGGCAAUUUCCCGGCCACCGCCGCCUUCGAUUACAGUUCUGAUAAGGAUGAGCUGGAUGCUAGUGAGGUUGAAGCAUCAAUGUUGGGUUUCCAGAGCUACUGGGAUGCUUCUUAUGCAGCCGAUCUUGCAAAUUUUCAUGAACAUGGCCAUGCUGGUGAAAUUUGGUUUGGUGUUGAAGUCAUGAAUACUGUUGCAACUUGGACUAAAAACUUGUGUGCCAACAUGCCCCAAGGUUGGAAUGCAGCUGACGACAGCAAUUUCAAAACUGAAUCUUGCGAAGCCUCCAAAGACUUGUCCAGUUGGAGGGUGCUUGACAUUGGAACUGGGAAUGGUCUGCUUCUGCAAGAGCUUGCAAAAAAGGGGUUUUCUGAUUUGAUGGGAACUGAUUACAGUGAAGGAGCAAUCGACCUUGCACGAAACCUUGCAAUUCGUGAUGGAUUUCCCCAUAUAAACUUCUUGGUUGAUGAUGUUCUGGAGACAAAAUUGGACAAAAAAUUCAAUGUUGUAAUGGACAAAGGCACGUUAGAUGCCAUUGGAUUACAUCCAGAUGGCCCUGUCAAAAGAUUACAUCAGAAUGUUCCACAAUUUUUGAAUGAAUCAAAUUUACCUUACAAAAUGGGAAAAAGAUUGAAUGAUUGUCUUCAUCACAACUGAUACAUAACCGCAUAAAGGGCUGGAUGAAUUAUGUGUUCAUGCUUUUCAGAACUACAUAUGUCCCCACUGUCUUGACUUGCUGUUAUGGGGUGAGCAAUGGACAAUAUAUUGGGAGUCAGUAUCAGACUUGGUAGUGCCUGGUGGGUUACUGGUCAUUACAUCUUGUAACAACACAAAAGAUGAGUUGUUGCAAGAGGUGGAAAAGUUCAACAAAAGAAGGCAUACCAUGCAGGACCUGGACCAAGGGGCGGGAAGCGAGCCUUCUGUUUUCCAUUACCUUGAUCAUGUCCGGACAUAUCCUACCAUCAUGUUUGGUGGUGUGGCAGGUUCUCGUGUGUGCACGGUUGCAUUUCUUCGAAAUUGAAUUUUGAAAUUGUUUAUAAUUAUUCAUGGAGCAAUGUUGGUGGCUAAACAUUUUGUUGACCGAGAGUUCCCUGUAAUUUUUUAGUCGAAAAUAGUUGUUAUUCUAUGAUUUUUUUUAAUUUUUUUUUUGUAAUAUUCACAAUCUCAGUA